rnacentral:rRNA from 1 species
AUUGAACGCUGGCGGCAGGCCUAACACAUGCAAGUCGAGCGAGCGGCGGACGGGUGAGUAAUGUAUGGGGACUGCCCGAUAGAGGGGGAUAACUACUGGAAACGGUAGCUAAUACCGCAUACUAUCGGAUAACCCAGAUGGGAUUAGCUAGUAGGGGAGGUAAUGGCUCACCUAGGCGACGAUCCCUAGCUGGUCUGAGAGGAUGAUCAGCCACACGGGGACGGAGACACGGCCCAGAAUCCUACGGAGGCAGAAGUGGGGAAUAUUGCACAAGGGGGGCAAGCCUGGUGCAGCCAUGCCGCGUGUAUGAAGAGGGCCCUAGGGUUGUAAAGUACUUUCAGUCGGGAGGCGUUACCGACAGAAGAAGCACCGGCUAACUCCGUGCCAGCAGCCGCGGUAAUAC